rnacentral:rRNA from 1 species
AGUCGAACGGCAGCACGGGAGCAAUCCUGGUGGCGAGUGGCGAACGGGUGAGUAAUACAUCGGAACGUGCCCAGUAGUGGGGGAUAACCCGGCGAAAGCCGGACUAAUACCGCAUACGACCUACGGGUGAAAGCAGGGGAUCGCAAGACCUUGCGCUAUCGGAGCGGCCGAUGUCAGAUUAGCUUGUUGGCGGGGUAAAAGCCCACCAAGGCGACGAUCUGUAGCUGGUCUGAGAGGACGACCAGCCACACUGGGACUGAGACACGGCCCAGACUCCUACGGGAGGCAGCAGUGGGGAAUUUUGGACAAUGGGCGCAAGCCUGAUCCAGCCAUGCCGCGUGCGGGAAGAAGGCCUUCGGGUUGUAAACCGCUUUUGUCAGGGAAGAAAAGCUCCGGGUUAAUACCUCGGAGUCAUGACGGUACCUGAAGAAUAAGCACCGGCUAACUACGUGCCAGCAGCCGCGGUAAUACGUAGGGUGCAAGCGUUAAUCGGAAUUACUGGGCGUAAAGCGUGCGCAGGCGGCUUUGCAAGACAGAUGUGAAAUCCCCGGGCUUAACCUGGGAACUGCAUUUGUGACUGCAUGGCUGGAGUGCGGCAGAGGGGGAUGGAAUUCCGCGUGUAGCAGUGAAAUG